UCCGCCUUUGUUUACCGUUUGAUUCGAUCCAUCCCUGACCGGCUACUGCGCAUAAGCUUUAAAAGCCUGUACGCUGCGUGGAAGUGGAGAUUCCUUGCUACUCUGGCUGGGUGCGGAGGAACGAGCUGCAACGGUGGGAAAACGAGACUUAUCGCUUCCAAAGUUCACAGAUGUCGCGUCGUGGACAACAAGAGCAGAAAUUGCUCAUGCUCCUCGCUGUCGUUGCCUUCAUUCUCUUCGAAACGACCUCCGCGUGGUCCUACAAUUCCGGUUGUGGAGCGAACGAGGAGGCAAAGAGUGGCAGCGCAGCCGAUACGCAAGAGAAAUACUGCGGCCGUGAUGGCAUGAACGGCAAUACGCAUAAGCAAUCAGGAUGCACGAGAAAUGGCAUGAGAUGCGUCUGCAGCUCAGGCUUCUUCAGAAAAAGACCCCCACCCUGCGGCCCAUGCGUCCGUCACGACGAAUGCUGAACAGCACAUAUAAUAUGCAA